rnacentral:tRNA from 1 species
AAGAAGUUAGUUUAAAAUAAAACAUUAACUUGUCAAGUUAAAAAUAUUCAAGCAAUAUUUCUUA